UACGGGAGGCUCAAGCGUUGUUCGGAAUGACUGGGCGUAAAGCGCGCGUAGGCGGGCUAGUAAGUCGGAUGUGAAAUCCCCGGGCUUAACCUGGGAACAGCAUCCGAAACUACAAGUCUUGAAUGCUUCAGAGGUUGGUAGAAUUCCAGGUGUAGGAGUGAAAUCCGUAGAUAUCUGGAGGAAUACCGGAGGCGAAGGCGGCCAGCUGGGAAUGCAUUGACACUGAGGUGCGAAAGCGUGGGGAGCAAACAGG
rnacentral:rRNA from 1 species